rnacentral:rRNA from 1 species
UACGUAGGGGGCAAGCGUUGUCCGGAAUCAUUGGGCGUAAAGCGCGCGUAGGCGGUCCGGUAAGUCCGCUGUGAAAGCCGGGGGCUCAACCCUCGGAUGCCGGUGGAUACUGUCGGGCUUGAGUACGGAAGAGGCGAGUGGAAUUCCUGGUGUAGCGGUGAAAUGCGCAGAUAUCAGGAGGAACACCAAUUGCGAAGGCAGCUCGCUGGGACGUUACUGACGCUGAGACGCGAAAGCGUGGGGAGCAAACAGG